CCUACGGGUGGCAGCAGUGAGGAAUAUUGGUCAAUGGCCGGAAGGCUGAACCAGCCAUGCCGCGUGAAGGUCAGUGCCCUAUGGGCGUUAAACUUCUUUUGUGCGGGAGCAAUAAUGGUCACGUGUGGCCAGACGAGAGUACCGUACGCAUAAGCAUCGGCUAACUCCGUGCCAGCAGCCGCGGUAAUACGGGGGAUGCAAGCGUUAUCCGGAUUUAUUGGGUUGAAAGGGUGCGUAGGCUGUGAGGUAAGUCAGCGGUGAAAUGCCCCCGCUCAACGGGGUGAAGUGCCAUUGAUACUGCCUGGCUGGAAUGCGGAUGCCGGGGGAGGAAUGUGUGGUGUAGCGGUGAAAUGCAUAGAUAUCACACAGAACACCGAUUGCGAAGGCAUCUCACGAAUCCGCGAUUGACGCUGAUGCACGAAAGCGUGGGUAUCAAACAGGAUUAGAUACCCGAGUAGUC
rnacentral:rRNA from 1 species